rnacentral:lncRNA from 1 species
AUGGGGGAUUGGGGGGGUGGGGGGAGGCGGCGGGGGCAGGUUGGCUGGCAGGUGAGUGGGUUUACAAAGAGAAACCAUGAAAAGUUUCUCACAAAUCAUUUCAAUCUGUCACCUAUUCUAGCUAAGCUUUUUUUUUUCUUUUUCUUCCAGACGGCUCCAAGAGCUACACAAAGUCUGGCUUAUCACUGUUUGAUAAGGAUCCGGUCCAGUCAAGCCGUGCCAAAGCCAUACUCUUUCAUUUGUUCUCUGUCACACCCUCCACCACUCGUCUAACAAGGACACCUGAAGUCAAUCAAGACCAGCAAGAC